UGUGGCGUCUGACGUAUCUGUGGAGACAUCUUAAGUUUCUUUCAGUGGGCAGGGAAAAAAAGAAGUGCAGGUUUGCUUGGCUCCAAGCCGGUUUUUCCGGGCCGGCUCUGCAGCGGUUUCCUUGUCCUCGGCGAAGUGAAUUUCCCGGCGCGGUCACUGCAGGUCCCUGAGGAGCAGCAGCCCGGCACCCCCGUGUCUCCUGCCUCUCUGCAUCUCCAGGCCGGUGCAGUGAUGCUCCUGCCUUUCUACCGGAUGCUGGCCCCUGCAGCCUACCACUGUUCUAAGUGAGCAUGGCAGAAAGCUUGGAGGACCACAGCUGCCCUUUCAGAGUAAAAGCAUCCUCCGGGUAGCUAA
rnacentral:lncRNA from 1 species